UCCAAGUAUGUGGUAAUUUGCCAUAUCAGCAACAGUACAACAAUUAUAAUACCUACAUUUAUUUCAUUCUUCUUUUCUUACAGAGCAAUUGGAAUAUCUAAGCAGAGAAGUUCACCUUCCGCUAAGCAAUCUUAUAUUCUUGGCUUGAAAAUGCAGCAGUAAGAAGGGCACACACCAAAGAGCAGAACAUGUUGGACUGUCUUUUGAUGCUGGAGAAAACCUAGUGCCUGCUGAUGGGUAUUGGUGUGGGAAGAUGAAGACAGGACAUCUGCAGGUGACUGAGAUAGUGUUCCAGUGGUGUCAUUAAUUUGUGAAACUGGCUCUCUCUCCACAUUCCUCAAGUGGGGAUGCGGACCUGGUCUUGUUUGUUAAAUUUCUCCAAGAUAGCUACAUCAACUGCAAACGCCCAUUUAUAAACGCAAAUCAUGUCAGAUUUUCAGGACCAGCAAAAACAAUCAAGUCAACGGCACCCUCCUUGAAUAUGUGGCCAGUGUGUGAGGAUUUCCGGAAGCCCUCCU
rnacentral:lncRNA from 13 species